rnacentral:lncRNA from 1 species
AUGAAAAAGGGAUUUUGCGUAAGAAUUCGAAGGGCUUGUUACACUGAAGAGUUACAAAAGGUGCAUCACCAGCCAACUACAGAAAAAGGAUCAUCUCCUCUUCAAAGGGCCCACAGAGAAAGGCAUGAGAAAUAUGCUCUACGAUGUAAAAGGAGUAUGAAAUCUGGAUCUUCUCUUUUCCGGUCCAACAGAACAUUUAUUGAGCACCAACUGUGCACCAGAUACUGUGCUAGCUGUUAGGGGUACAGAGUGAUACCCAGCCUUCACAACGGAGGACCACCAGUCAACAGAUCGGAGCUGAUCAGAGCUGCAGACUUAUUUCUGAGUUUGCGCACUUGAAACUGGGCCUCCCAGUUUGAGGAAAGGGCGGGCUGCUCGCUACCUCUGACAUCUGCCCUGGACCACCCCGGGAGAGAAGGAGGGCUCUGGGGGAUCUGGCGCGUUGCUCCAGAAGGAUCCCCGGCCGCGGCCCCCGCACCACGCCCUUGGCCCAGGCCAGGUGUGCGCCCUCCUGGCGGGGAGGGGGCGCCGGGCCGCCGGGGUGCGCGCUUUUACAGCUCCGUGGGUGCCGUGUGUUUGUCUGCCUCCCGCCGGCUG